AAAUUGCAGCCCGACCUGAGUGGAGCUCUUUUUGCAAAUUUUCGCAUCGGGAAAGCGGUAGGAAAUUUGCAAAAAAGCGGGAACGGAGGGCGGAAAUGUCU
rnacentral:misc_RNA from 1 species